GGACGCCUUGGACGCGCCGGGUAAAGUCCAGCCGUAUCCGCCUCCUUCUUGUCCCACUGUGGGAGGGGCUCUGGAGCGCCCGGACUCUAAGGUGGCCAAUGACGGAGACCCGUUGGGCCGGGCCAGGUCGGGGACAACGUCGACUGUUUAAGAAGCGUGGACUCUUGUCCUGAGUACACCGAGGCUUUCAGCCUGCGGGACGGUGGUGCGAUUUGCGUUAGAGAAAGGGAGAUGCCAUGUGCUGGCCCAGCACUCCAACAGGGGCCUGACCUCUAGGAACGGGAUACUGGAGGAAGCCUAGACAUUUGAACAAAUCAAGUCAUCCAGAUCCACGGUCAGCUCCUGCCCUGACUUGGCCUUCCUCCUGCUGGGCUGGUCCACGGACCUCGGGAACCUGCCCUGGCUGUGGGUGACCUGCAGGUCUCAGAACUGUGGCCCAUUCACCCCUUCCCUCAAGACAAGAGUGUGGCCAAGCAUCAACCUCACCCCCAGAGACCAGACGGUGUCCAGGUCUUGGGCAGAUGAAACCUGCUCCUUGGGGAUGGUCUUCCUGGCUGUGCUUCCAAAGGGCUGGCCUGCAAUCAGCUGGUUUUCACUUGAUCCUUUUGGGGUUUGCAUUACAUCUGACUGAAGGAAUGAACUGGGAGAGAACAGCAGAGCCGCAGAGGAAUGUGGAAAGGCCCACGUCGAGACUGUUCCCAUUCUGUCACCUGCAGAAGAGGCUGGUCAGACUGGAAGAACAUCACCUGGAAUGCAAAUCUAAGGAAGAAAUGAUUUGAUGGGAAAGAAAUGCAAGCCUAAUACAUGGUUGAUGUGGAGUGAACAUGGAAGCUAUGAAUUGAGAUGGCAGAACCACAAGAUGGAAGUACGUUGGAUUUCUGAGUCACCACCUGGAGGAGAGCUUCCCUGCAGCAUCGCUGCAAUCUGAUGUGAACUAGAUAUUAAUCUUGAUCAUGUCGACUUGAACCUAAUUCAGGCCUAAGACAUAAUAUAUACUGCAUAAUAUAUGCUGUAUAAUGAUAAUAUAUUUAUGCAGUCUUUAUUGAUAUGAGUAAUGGUUUAUCUCAGUUUUAUAAUAAAAAUCUCUCAAAGAACAUUGACUCCAAGGAAUAACAAUCACAAAAGGAUUACAGCUUUGUUUAACACUUUUUGCAAAUCCUUGAAGCUGAUCUUUCUCAUUGUUUCUAAUCCCAAUAGCCAGCCUAAACCUUUUGGUGUAAUCUCAUGUAUUCUGACCUCUGUUAUUUCCAGCUGCUUAAUGAUCUUCAUAUAAAUUGUACGGGAAAUGAAGCAAAUGUAAUUACAGUGUCUGACAGCCCUGAUGCAGAUAAAUAGGUGGGAGUCUGGCCAAGUGUCUCCCCAAGCUAGCCUUUGGUGUCUUUCGCUCACAGCAGAAAGAAAUAGGUCAUAAAUUACAGCACUGAUUUGUUCCAAUGAUAUCAUUAGCUCCUGGAAAACAAGGAUCAUGAAAAACCCAUUUCAAAUGAACAUAUGAGUCAAUACCAACCAAGCAUCUUUUGGAACAGAGCCCUUAUAAAUUCACACUAGAAUUCUGACUCCUAAGUGAAUAUCUGUGGAUCUUCAGAACGUAGAAGACUUAGCUCUAGCCCAUGCAUCAGUCCCUUCAGACCAUAGAGUCAUAACCAGGCCUACUGAAAGAGCUGGUUACAUGGGACAGUCAGAGAUUUACCUAGGUGAGAAAAUAAAGAUUAGAUGGUUUGAAGCAGAGUUCUAGCCCUUCCAAAUCAGACCUCCAACCCCUUUCUUAAUUCUAUAGGUUGUAGUUUUCAAAGGAGAAGUUGUAAUAAAGAGUAAGUAAACUAA